GCUUACGGCCAUACCACCCUGAGAACGCCCGAUCUCGUCUGAUCUCGGAAGCUAAGCAGGGUCGGGCCUGGUUAGUACUUGGAUGGGAGACCGCCUGGGAAUACCAGAUGCUGUAAGCU
ensembl:rRNA 5S_rRNA 5S ribosomal RNA